GGUUGUCUGCAGAUAACUCUGGCCGCUAAUAGCAAUCGAGGCGAAGAGCUUGCUCCUCUGUCGUUAUCGGCGGACGGGUGAGUAACGCCGUUAUAAGCACCUAUAAGCCUGGGAUAACUCGGACCAAAGUAAUACGAUAUAUUUAUCCGCAUGGUUCAAUAGUAAACGGUUGCGUCACUAUAAUGGAUACGCCGCGCUUAGCUAGUGGUAAGGUCACGUGCUUCAAGCAACAUGCGUAGCCGACCUGAGAGGGUGUCGCCCGCUGGAACUGAUGGCUCGGUCCAGACUCCUACGGGAGGCAGCAGUAGGGAAUCUCCGCAAUGGGAAAGCCUGGCGCAACAACGCGCGUGAGUGAUGAAGGUCUUCGGACGUAAAUCUGUUAUUAGGGAAGAACAAAUGUGUAAGUACUAUGCACGUCUGUCGGUACCUAAUGGAGCCCGGAGAGGGCAACAAAU
rnacentral:rRNA from 1 species